ensembl:lncRNA
AGAGAGAGAGAGGGAGAGAGAGAGAGAGAGAGAGAGAGAGAGAGAGAGAGAGAGAGAGAGAGAGAGAGAGAGAGAGAGAGAGAGAGAGAGAGAGAGAGAGAGAGAGAGAGAGAGAGAGAGAGAGAGAGAAAGAGACAUAAGGAAGGUCGCAUUACUUGCUAAUCUCUAAUAAGCUGUUUAUGUUUGAAAGCAUUUACGGACCCAAAACAAUCAUAUUGGGACGGACACUUUGAUAACUGCAUUUAGAAUACGACAAGAUGCAUUUGACGUAUUUGUUAUCACGAUCACUUAGAAUUCCUGGCCAGGCCCCAUUUUAUUGUGGUCCGAAUAUGUCAUUUGCUUUUAAAUUGCAUUAUCAUACGAAAUAAAACAGAAAUUUGAUGAAAUUCAGAUAAUUUCACCUGAGUUAAUGGAAUAUGGGUUUAAGAGCAAACUAAUUAUCCAUCUUUGCCGGAGAGUUGAUGUAUUUCUUUGGAAAGGCUUUUAAAUGUAAACAAUUAUGGCCUCCUUGAUUAGCAUUAGAAUAGUGUGUCAUUGUCCUGCGUACCCUUCCUCGUAUUGGAUACAGCAUCUGCCCCCUGAGGCUCUGCUCUCAAAAAAACACUCACACACACACACACACACACACACACAAACACACACACACACUGAUUACUUACCUCAGCCACCAACACCGACCAUUUGACCGCUCUGUCCAAUUGAAACACAGAAUCAUUCCUAAAUUAUUUAUUCUUCAAAAACCAGAAAACAUGAGGUAAAGAAAAACAUUGGUGUAGUGUGAGGAGCAGUUCAGUGACAAUGUUCCGUUUUUAUCUCAGCAUCUGCCAGCCCAGACGGCAUCCUUAGCCAUGUCCUCAGAGCAUGCGCAGACCAGCUGGCUGGUGUGUUUAUGGACAUAUUCAAUCUGUCCCUAUCCCGGUCUGUUGUCCCCACAUGCAUCAAGAUGGCUACCAUUGUUCCUGUACCCAAGAAAGCAAAGAUCCACAGACGACGCAACCACACUGCACACUGCACACUGCCCUAUCCCAUCUAGACAAGAGGAAUACCUAUGUAAGAAUGCUGUUCAUUGACUACAGCUCAGCAUUUAGCACCAUAGUACCCUCCAAACUCGUCAUUAAGCUCGAGACCCUGGGUCUCGACCCCGCCCUGUGCAACUGGGUCCUGGACUUUCUGACAGGCCGCCCCCAGGUGGUGAAGGUAGGAAACAACAUCUUCACUCCGCUGAUCCUCGACACUUGGGCCCCACAAGGGUGCGUUCUCAGCCCUCUCCUGUACUCCCUGUUCACCCAUGACUGAGUGGCCAUGCACGUCUCCAACUCAAUCAUCAAGUUUGCAGACGACACUACAGUGGUAGGCCUGGUUACCAACGACGACGAGAUGACCUACAGGGAGGAGGUGAGGACCUCGGAGUGUGGUGUCAGGAAAAUAACCUCUCACUCAACGUCAACAAAACAAAGGAGAUGAUCAUGGACUUCAGGAAACAGCAGAGGGAGCACCACCCCACCCCCCAUCCACAUCGAAGGGACAAAUCACAAACAAACUGAAAUGGUCCACCCACACAGAAAGCUAUCAUCCAGAAGGGUGUCCAGUAUGAGGACUGUCAUGAGGGACUGUCAAUGAAUCACCAUGGAAACCUGUGAUUGACAGACAGGCGCUAGCCCCAUCUGGCUGGCUGGCAGGCCCUCAUUACGAUGAGCAGGAGGAGAUUUGCUGUACGGCGACAGGACCGUACGAAAAAUGUCAACGAUCGCCAGAGCCCCAGACUUCCUCCCAUCCCCCAAGUACCUCAGCUAAUGUUACCUAAUGUUAUCUAAUGUUUUCUAAUGCCCAUAUUUAUCAUUCAAAUAAUCUAGACUGAAGUUAGCUGCAAUACACCCCCACACACCUCACUGACUCCCCUUAUGUACCAACACCUCAACACACCUCACUGACUGCCCUUAUGUACCAACACCUCAACACACCUCACUGACUGCCC